rnacentral:tRNA from 1 species
GACUCCAUAGCUAAGUGGUUAUAGCAUGAGAUUGCAGUAAUGUUUAUCUCGGGGUCGCGUGUUCGAGUCACGCUGGGGUCU